GAUGGCAUAGCCAAGUGGUUAAGGCAAAGGUUUAUAAGACUUUUAUCCUCGGUUCAAUUCCGAGUGCCAUCU
rnacentral:tRNA from 1 species